ACGGUAUGAUGGGGACAUUUUCUAAUGAAGUCCUUGAAUCAUUCCCAUGCCUCAUGGAACUGCUCACCAUCUUGCUGUGAAAAGCUAGUGAGAGCUCUCCUUAUCU
rnacentral:snoRNA from 1 species